CCUGCUCGGAAACUCGCCCGCUCCGGACGGGCAGUGGCCGUGUGAGGACGUUCCCGUGCCCGGGGAAGCGCCCUUGCGGUUUGCCUGCCCGCGCCCCCCUGGAUAUCCCCGCCACCCAUGGCUCUCCAGCGCCUCAUGGCAGGUGUCUUUAUUCCAGAUGCCUUGGGAAAUGCGAGCCAGUGAUUCAGGAGAUGACAGUCCUCUCUUCCACAAGUGCCUUUAGUGGUCUCAUGCCUGGGACCCCGAUUGCUGUUUUCUGCCAUGCCAUGGAGAUCCAGGGAUUCUGGCCACUCCUGAAUAUCCUAUCUCCACAACUGAUAUGUCCAAUUCUGAAAAACAAAAUUUUCACUGAAUUCACCAUUAAGUCACAAAAUAUCCACGUAAAUAUUCAAAAACCUUCAUAUUAAAACAGGAAAGCAAGCAAAGGACUAUAAUUUCAAAAUGUGCAUGUAUUCUGAAGUGUGUGCUACUGUCCAUAAGAGUUGUCCAUAGUUCCUGAAAGAUCGACUGUGACUUUUCCACAGCUGAAGACCAGACUGCUAAUUUGCUAAUUUUCUUCCUGAGAGCAGGUACAGCACUUGACACUCAUCAUUCUUCUGUCUUUGUUUACCUAAAUGGGAAAGUAGAUACCAAUGAAGAACUGCCUGUCCUGAGAUGUGGAAGCUGGAGCUGCUGUGCCAGAAGCUGGCACUGCUGUUGAUGCUGCCUCACCAGCUGGCCCUGUCAGAGCUUUAUCAACAGAGAAGGGGCUAGAAAAGUUCCAAACCUCACUGGUCUUCCAUGCAGCACCUAAAAUAUUUAUUAGCAACACGAAUGCUGCAAUUUUACUUAAAAGACUCACUGAGCCAGUGAUAACCUCUCCUUUAAGCACAUGCCUUUAAGGGACCUUUGACGAUAUGAAGGGCACUGUGACAGCUGUAAAUUGAAGCAGCUUACCAAAGAUAGAGCUUAUUUUUAACAUUGUUUGCCUCUAGAUUAACCAGAGACUUUUUGUACAACCUUCUACAUUCCUAAAUCCAGAGGUACUUGGGAAAAAGGGCCAUGUAACAAAAACUUGCACGCCAUAAUUCAGGUUAUGUUAGCAAGGAAGAAGCAUGAGGUAUGCACACUGUUACAGGGACAGAGCAGCACAUGCACAACUUAAAGGUAACAGAGAGCUUCAGGACUACUACUACAACUAAACCAGAAAGCUAUUUUGGAGAUGAAGGAGAAGGUUUGAAGUACAAAAAUUGUAUUUAUUUUUUUUUUUUUAAACUUGAACCUCAGACUGACCAGAGCCUGCUCACACAGCAGACCUGAAGAUUCAGUUAUAAAGCUGGGCACGAAUGAAACCUGUCUCCAGAAUCACUAAAGAUGGAAAACAGAUUUUUGAAUGUAGCCACCAAAGUAAAUUCUUCUAUCUUUACACAAAAAGCAAAUUCUGUAAGCUGGGGUUUAGGAGUGCUUCUCGUUCGAGUGAGCAGUGCCAAGAUUUGGAGGAAAACCAAGUGGCAGAUUUUUUGUGAGCUGGUUGUCAGCUGCAAGGUUAAAACUCUCUGCACAGGAAGCACAGUUGAGGAGGGAUUAUUUCAAGCACCUGGAACGAACUCCCACAAGAAGCAAUAAACACUUUAAAUGUAAUUUUCUUUUCCUAACACACUUUGGCCUUUGCUAACAAAUAUAGCACAUAUAUGUAUACACAUAUGGAGUUAGAAUAACAAACUGCAUUUGACAGUGAGUCCUUGCUUAUUGAAAUCUGGGACAGUGUUCACAUGCAAUAACUACAAUGAACACCAUAGUAAAUAUAUUUAUUGACUCGGCAAAAUUAGAAAUUUAUAGCAGUCUUGUGGAGUAGAUUACAACACUUAAGAUAUUAAAUAACAUUAUUACUUUUUGAUAACAAGGUCUAGAUUAAGCAUAUUAUUCUUGUGAUACUUUUAAGGAACAGAUCAACUGCAUUUCUUGUACAGAUGUUAUGAAAAACAAUAAAGUUGGAGAAAGGGCAUUGUGUUUAGUGCAAAACUAACAUUCAAAACUGAAAAACAGUGCAAAAAGCACUACUGAAAAUUUUACAAGCCAGUAGUUCUCACAGUUUGCUAAUAAACCCACAUGAAAUAUUUUCACUUUUUGAGUGUGUUAGGCCUUGUUUUGAAUUCAUAUUAUUGCUUCACCAGUAGCUGUUUCCAGAGAGGAGGUUUCUAAAGGUAGAGACCUCCACCUAUAAAAAGAAUUUGUUAUGUUCUUUGGUAAGCAAUGAUAAUUGUCCAGAAUUAUCAUUACCGGAUUCUUUGAACUGCUAAACUGCCCCUACCUAAUGGAAUUGUUAAAAACUGUAUUUUAAAUAUGUGCUGAUACAAGUUAAGAGCUGUUUUGAGAGUAUGACUUGGGUUCUUCCCAAACACAACAGUCAAAGCAGCUACAAUAAAAAGUGCAGAAGAAAAUUAUUAAAGAUUUCAGUUUUACAGUUUGAAACUGACUAUGCUGGCAAGCAAUUUUCUCUUAACCUUAAAAGAAAAGCUAAAUUACCGUACCAGAAACUUGUACUGAAAGUAUCUUCCAGUACAUCUUUCGACCAUAAUGCAAAGAUUGCACAAAUCAAAUGACAUCAGUAAAAUAAAAGGGUAAGAACUAGAAGUAGUUCUCUUACACUAAGGCUCUUUGUCUGUGGUCCUGAAAGGCAGUUCUGCUCUUUUGAAUUUUGUUAAAUAAAGAUAUUCUGGCUUUCAAGAAGAACAUAACUCCUAAAGACAGACUUGA